UGUGGGUUGGUUUCUGGAUUCUUCAUUCUGUCCGUUGGACAUUUUCUUUUUCCUUGGGCCAAAACCACACUGUCUUAAAUAUUUAAAGUCUUGCAAUUUGGUAAUAAGUUCUCCAAUUCUGUUGUUUUUCUUCAAGAUUGUCUUAGCUAUCAUAGGUCUUUUGCCUAGGUUGUAGAUUUCCAUAAUAAUGUUAGAGAUAUUAAUAUCUAUGAACAAAAACCUGAUGGAUUUUUUAUUGAGAUUGCAUUGAAUCUACAGUUAUAGUAAGAACUAACAUCUUAACUCCUUUGAAUCUUCCAAUCCAUGAUGAUGGUGUGUGUCUCUAUUCCCCAUUUAUUUAAGUCUUCUUUCUCUCAACAAUGUUUUACAGUCUUCAGUAUAGAAGUCUUGCUCAUAUUUCAUUAGACAGUAUUUCUUGAUUUUGGUAUUUUUGAUGUUAUUAUAAACAAUUUAAAAUUUUCCCAAUUGUUUGCUGCUAGUACAAAGAAAUACAAUGGACCUUUGUUGACCUGUACCCUGUGACUUUGCUAAAUUCACUUAUAAAUUCUACUAGUUUGUAGAUUACUUUGGAUUACCUACAUACAGAAACUUGACAUCUAUAAGUAGUAGAGUUCGCUUCUUCCUUUCUCAUCUCUAUCCUUUUAAUUUCUUUUUCUUGCCUUUACUGAACUGGCUACAACCUCAAGUUGUAUUCAAUACUGAAGUUCCAUUAAAUACUGUUGAAUAGAAGUAUGAUAGUGAACAUAUGUGUCUUGUCCCUGACCUCAGUGGGAAAAGGUUAAUAUUUCACUAUUAGGUGCAAUGUUAGCUAUAGUUUUUUAAUGAUAUUCCUUGUUUGCUAAGAGCUUUAUCAUACUAUUAUGAAUUUUUAUCACACUAUUGAAUUUUAUCAAAUGCUGCAUCUAUUGAGAUGAUCGUUUGAGUUACCUAUGUUCCGUUCAUUCUAUCCUUGAUUUUUAAAUUUUGAGAUAUAAAUUCACAUGCAAUUGUAAUGGGCAUUAAGGAGGGUAUGCGUUGUGAUGAGCACUGGGUGUUAUAUGCAACUGAUGAAUCACUGAAUACUACAUCUGAAACUAAUGAUAUGUUGGCUAAUUGAAUUUAAAUUAAAAAAAGAUAAUAUGAACAGAUAGCAUGUACUCUUUAUCCAAUUUCCCUCAAUAAUGUCAUUUUUCAAAAUUAUAAUAUCACAAGCAGGAUAUUGACAUUGAUUUAAUCCACUAGUUCUGUUUGUGUUUCCACUCUGAUUUCUGAAUGUUAAACCAACCUUGCAUUCUUUAAGAAAUAGGUAUAACUGGAUGCAAUAAGCUAAUAUUUUGUGAGGGAUUUUGCAUCUGUAGUCAUGAGAGAUAUUGGCCUGUGAUUCUCUUUUCUUGUAAUGACUUGACAGGUUUUGGUGUUAGGAUUAUAUUGGUCUCAAUGAAUGAUUUGGAAGUGUUUCUUUUUUCUCUGUUCUCUGAAAGAGUUUAUGUAUGUUUGCUAUUAUAUCUUUUUUUUUUUUUUAAUCCUUGGAGAAAUUCACCAGUAAAGCAAGCCAUCUUGGUUUGAAAUUUUCCUUGUGGGAAAAUUUUAAGUACAGAUUAGAACUUUUUUUAUAGAUUGGGUACUAUUCAGAAUUUUAGUUUCCUCCUGAAAGAAAUGUUUUUCAAGAAAUGUUUCCAUUUCAUCAAAGUUGUCAACUCUAUUGAGAAAGUAUUUUCCUUUAAUUUCCUCUUAUAUUUUUCAUAAUGUUUGUAAAAUCUGUAGUGAUAUUUCAUUCAUUUGUUUUUUGUUUUCUUUUUUUGAUUAGUCUUACUAGGGCUAUCAACUUUGACGCUUCAAACUGGCUUUUAGCUUUGUUGAUUUUCUCUUUAUCUUUGGCCUUAUAUUUAAAAGAUGUUCCUUGUAGAAAGCAUUAUAAGUAAAUGUAGCUUUAAAAUGGAAGGUUCAUGUCAAAUUCAGCCACAGUCAUAGUCCUUGGCUUGUGGCGCUCAUAAGAGGGAAGUGGUAAUGGUCUUGAACAGGGACUCAGCAGUUUAGAUUUCUAUUUUUUUUUUAAAGAUUUAUUUAUGUAUUUGAGAGAGAGAGGGUGUGGGGGCAGAUGGAGAGAGAGAAUCAAUCCCAAGCAGACUCCUUGCUAAGCCUGGAGCCCGACACAUGGCUUCAUGUGCGGCUUGACGUGGGGCUGGACAUGGCACUCCAAAUGGGGCUCCACAUGGGUCUCAAUUGCAGGACCCUGAGAUCAUGAUCCGAGCCGAAAUCAUGAGUCUGCUGCUUAACCAACUGAACCACCCAGGUACCCCCAGCAGUUUAGACUUAAUAGAGCUAAGAGGAGAAGGAUCUCACUCCUGGUGGAGUAUUUUUAUAUAAUAAAUUACCACCCUCAAAUUUGUUUGUUUCUAAAGUGUUUUAUAUUUAUUAUAAAUAGUGUUAGGUUAAAGAAGAAUAGGCUUGAACUGCGGACUGGCUGUCUGUCAUUGAGCACUCUCAGAGGCAAAGCAGUGUAGUCAGUGCUAUACAAGUUUCUGAAUUGGUCUUAGAAAACUUCUAACUGAACUGUUUCAUAUUGGAAUGACAGAUCAAGCAGAAGAUUUUAAGUGAUAAGGAAACUCAGAAACCAUCUUGGGCCCAUUAUCGUUUUUCUGAAUACUUGGACAUGGAAAUAAAAAGUGUACUUGCAUUUUUGUCAUGCAGAGUCUGCUGAAGCUGUCAUGACAAAAUAUCAUAGACCGACUGGCUUACACAAUAGACAUUUAGUUCUCACAGUCUGGAGACUGGGAAAUUCAAGAUUGGGUGCCAGCUGAUUGAGUUCUGAUGCAGGAGCUACAUUCCCUCCCCUUGGGUGGAACUUUGUAACUACAUCAACCAAUAGGAUAUGAUGGAAGUGAUGGUGUAUGAUUUCCAAAUUUAAGUCAUACAAAAUAUUGCAGCUUUCACCUCAGUUUCUGGUAUUGCUUGUUCUGGGAGAAGGCAGACACCAGAACAGAGACAGUAAAGGCACCUCAUGGAGAAGCCCAUGUGAAGAACAGAGGCUCCCUCUUAGCCAGCAUUAACUUGCCAGCCAUGUGAGUGAGCCACCUUGGAAGUGGAUCCUCCUGCCCCAGUCAAGCCUUCAGAUGACUAUUGCCCCCACUGACAUAUGACUGCAACUGCCUGAGGGCCCAGGUGAGAGCUGUCCAUUGGAGCCCUUCCCAAAUUCCUAACUAACAGAAGCCAUGAAAGAGAAUAAAUGACAAUUGUUAUAAGCCACUGAGUUUGGAGGUAAUUUGUUAUAUAGCAUUAUAUAACUUACAUGGUAGACUAGGAAUGGAACUCUGUUAAUGAAUAUAUGUAGCAAAUUGCACAAGGAUAGAAGUGAAAAUUCUAUCUAAUGAGAGAUGUGAAUGGUGGACAAAUUUUACUAAUAAGUGCAAAUAGAAGUUUUCAAUAUCCAUGUGUUAGGUUAAUUUUCUCCAUUAAUUAAUAAAACGACAUUCUCUUAGUACAUAGUUUUUUUUUUUUUCAUGAAUCUUACCUUGAAAUCCUGCUCAUCCUCAUAUAGUAAGUAUUUCAUACCAGAGGCCCCAAACUCUAUACAUGAGCUGUUUUCUUCAUCUGUCUUCAGGUGUUUGGCAUAUCCGAUACCAUCCUCAUGACUAAGAUAUGAAGCACUGCUCUCCACUGAUGAGCUCAUGAAGUCUCUACCUUUUACUUCUGCAGCACCCACUGAGCUUUCAACCAGAACAUAUGAUGUCUGCAAAGCUCCCUGUAGCUUUUCCAUGAUGUCCGCCUGAAGACAGCAUGAAGCAGACUCUGCAGACAUUCAAACCACCCCCAUGCUCAGCAGCUCAGCAAUUGGAGCGAAGCCCCUGGAUUACAGGUUGCCAAUUAUUUAAGGAACAUGGGUAAACUGUUACUGAAAGUGCUCAAGUCUCCAGCAAAUCAUGUAACUGCACACAAUAUUUAUGUUUGUAAAAGCUUCUUAAUUCAGCUCAGUAAAGGUCACGCCCACACGUAGCUCUGGUCUGCAGGUGGACAUGCCUGAGGUCUUAGAAUUCUCUUCUGUCUUCCUUUUUCCAUUUUGAAUCAUUGUGAUCUUACUAAAUGUCAUAAACUUCAUGAAUCUGGAUUCUCUCUUAACCAUUAAUUUAUUGUCACUUUUGUACAGCCAUAAGGGAACAACACUUAAUGAUACGGAAAAUACUUAAAGUAUGUUGUUAUAUGAAGUUAGUGUUAGAUUUGUAGCUGUUGGUCCACUUAGCCUCAGUUCUG